CCUACGGGACGCAGCAGUGAGGAAUAUUGGUCAAUGGGCGGGAGCCUGAACCAGCCAAGUCGCGUGAGGGAAGACGGUCCUAUGGAUUGUAAACCUCUUUUGUCGGGGAGCAAAGAGAUCACGUGUGGUCAAAAGCGAGAGUACCCGAAGAAAAAGCAUCGGCUAACUCCGUGCCAGCAGCCGCGGUAAUACGGAGGAUGCGAGCGUUAUCCGGAUUUAUUGGGUUUAAAGGGUGCGUAGGCGGAUUUUUAAGUCAGCGGUAAAAUGUCCGGGCUCAACCCGGGCCGGCCGUUGAAACUGGGGAU
rnacentral:rRNA from 1 species